rnacentral:rRNA from 1 species
GAGUUUGAUCCUGGCUCAGGAUGAACGCUAGCGGCAGGCUUAACACAUGCAAGUCGAGGGGCAGCGAGAUCAGUGCUUGCACUGAUUGUCGGCGACCGGCGCACGGGUGCGUAACGCGUAUGCAACCUACCCAUUACAGGGGGAUAACACUGAGAAAUCGGUACUAAUACCCCAUAACAUCCAGGGAGGCAUCUUCUUGGGUUGAAAACUCCGGUGGUAAUGGAUGGGCAUGCGUUGUAUUAGUUAGUUGGUGGGGUAACGGCUCACCAAGACAACGAUACAUAGGGGGACUGAGGGGUUAACCCCCCAUAUUGGUACUGAGACACGGACCAAACUCCUACGGGAGGCAGCAGUGAGGAAUAUUGGUCAAUGGACGCAAGUCUGAACCAGCCAUGCCGCGUGCAGGAAGACGGCUCUAUGAGUUGUAAACUGCUUUUGUACGAGGGUAAACUCGGAUACGUGUAUCCGUUUGAAAGUAUCGUACGAAUAAGGAUCGGCUAACUCCGUGCCAGCAGCCGCGGUAAUACGGAGGAUUCAAGCGUUAUCCGGAUUUAUUGGGUUUAAAGGGUGCGUAGGCGGUCGGAUAAGUUAGAGGUGAAAUCCCGGGGCUCAACUUCGGAAUUGCCUCUGAUACUGU